AGAGGUCAUUGUGUAGGUAUCUGUGUCGUCUAUACUAGAAGAACGUUUACGGAACCCUGUAGGUUUCAAGCCAGAAAUUCCCUGAAGACUUUCAUAUUCCAGCAUGCCUGGUACUGAAAGACAACAGAAAAUAACGGUUCCUGUGAUGCUGGAAGAACUUCAACUGCAAAUAGUCAAAGACUGGAGAGACGCUGUGAAGGAGCACUGCUACCUGCUUGCCUGACUUGUUUAACUUUUCUGGAGGCAUCUGCUGCUGGCCACUCUCAGAAAUGAAACACUGCUGAACUCUGUAGGAAAGCUGGAUAUUCAAUACAAACCGCCGGAUAUUCUGAAAUCUGCGCCUGGCAAGCCAUGCACGGGCGUAUUUCUGAAGGAUCACAGCCUUGUGUUCUUCGAGCAUCUUUAAAAUAAAAU